UCAAAAUAUGAUUUUGUAUGGGAUUGUGGAGAUAAGUCUUCCCUAUUUGAUGCAUGUAUUAGUUGUAUCCAAAGCUUCGACUUUUGACACCUCUUUUAGUUUAAAUCGCCACUGUACGUCGCUUCACUUCUUAAUUUUGUAUUGCUGUAACAAGUCGAGUGGCAACGAAAAGAAUAAUUAAAAAGGAUAAAUUGAAUUUAAACAAACAAAUUAAGUGCAUUUAAUAAAACGUCUCAGAGGAGUCUAAGUUUACCGGAGAGAAGUCUCAAACAUUAGGUGUGUUGGUGUGCGAUGUAUUGUACAAGAGGCUGCGUGCCUUGUGUUUGUAUAUUUUUCAAUAGUUAUAGAGCAUGCCACUGAAAUCAUAAAAUCAAAGAACCUCAGGGCAAGAACAAGUGGUACAAUCGUAAGUGCCAAGUCCGGGGUGUAAGGAGAUUAGCAGCAUGUGAAAAAUGUGUCUUCCUCGGAAAAGAGCCUGUGAGGGUCACCACGGAGUUCAUAUACCUUGGAGUUCUCUUUACGGCCACGGAGCUAUUCUUUGUUACGGUGCACAAGUGUGGGGAGUUGAAGAUGUUUCACAAAAACAAUACUUAUAUUUCCUGAAAGUAACAUUACAACUACAUUUUGUCGAUCGAUGCAGGGCUGGAUAAGGGACACAUAUACGGCUUCAAUCUUUAAUCUUCUAAAAUAUGUAUCGCGAUUUCUGUAUGAGUACGAAGAGAACAGACUGCCGAUCAUCCUAGCACGCCACAUGAUGGAAAAAGAUUUAAAUUGGUUUUUACGAUUUAAGGCGUCACUUCGAAGCUGUAACCUCACUCUCGAUCUAAAUGCAAACACACUCAGAAUGGAAUUGACGAUAUGAACCUAGCUUUUAUAUUAUGUCUAAGCACACAAACGCACUAAAAACAUGUGAGUAGUAUUUCCUUUCAGAGCAGAGCUUUUCGUUUUGUUUCGCGUCGAGUCGACUGCUCGUAGACCUGAAAACUGCUACUGAAUCUCGCCCAUCAGCAGUGCCUUGAGAUUGCCAUUACGAAGUGAACGUCUGGUCUCGAAACUGUAAAACCUAGCACACGUAAUAUUGAAUGCUACUCGAAACGGACGGGGAAAUCGGAACAAUAAUCGUCAAAAACAUGAGCGACAGAUAAGUAUUCGUCUUGGCCUCUAUGGGGCUGUCCAAUCCGGAGACGCCCACGAACUCGGGACAGCAGGCGUCUCAGCAAGACCACUCCAGGUGCAAUUCUAGCAAUGAGCCCACAGCCACGGAGUACUUUCACUGCUUGGUGGACCAACUGCCUGAGGCACACGACAUGGCCGCUCAGAUGACGAGAUCGACGGCCUAAAUUUUCCGAGCGGAGAUUCAAAGCUGCGUCUGAUCACUUUCCAAGAGUCAAGCAGCCUGAUUUUCGACCUGCUCUAUAUCUUACAUUUUCGCUGUCGUUCUUCAGAUGACGCUGCCUAUGGGUUAUGCCCAGAAGCUGGGUUUCCAAUGAAAGGCUUUCCGUGUCCCAAAUAUGCCGGUGAAAGGCAUUCUGGAUGAACUUUAUGAUUGCUCAGAAGUCCUUGCACAGCUUUCGGUUUUCGUCUUUGACUGAACGUCAACAACGUCUUGUUCGCCAACUUGUCGGCAAUUGAAAACGAAUCGUACGGAAGGAUCAUGGCCUGCGUUCAGUCGGUCAGUGGGGAGCAACAGCAGACGCUGGACGAAAACCGAAAGCUGCGGAAGGACUUUUGCGCAAUCAUAAAGCUCCUACAGAAUGCCUAUCACCGGAACAUUUGGGACACGGACAGCCUUUCACUGGAAACCCAGCUUCUGGGCAUAACCCAUAAGCAGCGUCAUCCAGAGAGCGACAGUGAAAAUGUAAGAUAUAGAGCAGGUCGAAAAUAAGGUGCUUCACUCAAUCGGUGUGUAUCUCCUCCAUAGAGCGAUAGUGAAUGCGGCAGGUGCUGCCUUAAUGCCUCCUCCAGUCCCCAUUCAGCUUCUCUAGCUUCUGGGCAUAGCCCACGAGCAGCAUCAUCCGGAGAGCGACAAUAAAAAUAGCGAUAGCGAAUGCUGCCGGUGCUGCCUUAAUGCCUCCUCCAGUCCCCAUUGAAGAUAACCUAUUCGAGUCUUCCGUUACUACUGAUGUUGUUUUUAGCUAAAUUGUAUUCAUAAAUUUAAGAUUGCCGUUGUUCAGCAGCGUAGCUUGCGAUAAAUAUAAUAAUACUCAUCGAAUUAUGCUGCUGCCAAAGCUCAGUAGCUCAAAAUUUAAACAUAAACAGUUAAAUCACAAAAAACAAAAACAUUCUCGUUUCAAAAACGGUUCUCGCGUCGUCUGCCUUGCGUUCUGCCCACGGUUAGUGCUGCGUUUGUUGGAUGCGAAAAACGACUGUGCUGUGGCCGCUGCUGGAAACAGGGUGUCUUGUAGCGGAAAGUGCUGGCACUAUUGGCAAGGAUUCUCGUUGGAAGGCUCAAGCAGAUCGAGGAGCUGCACGGUACUUCUAAAAGCGUGCACAGCGAGCUCCAGAAGCUAUAAUACGACGAGAUUGUCAGUGAACUGUGCGAUGACUUUGACCUCGCAUUCAAUUCUUGGCACAUAUGUACAUAUGUACAUACAUACGUAUGAAAUAGUAGAGC